rnacentral:rRNA from 1 species
UUAAAGGGCUGCAGUAUAUUGACUGUACAAAGGUAGCAUAAUCAUUAGUCAUUUAAUUGAUGACUUGUAUGAAGGAUUGGAUGAAAUAUAAACUGUCUCUUAAUUAUAUUUAGAAUUUAAUUUUUUAAUUAAAAAGUUAAAAUAAAUUAGAAAGACGAGAAGACCCUAUAGAGUUUUAUAAGUAAAAUUAAUUGAGAUUAUUUGUAAAGGUUAAGAUUAAGAUUAGUUUAUUUAUUUUGUUGGGGUGACAGAAAAAUAUGAAAAACUUUUUAUAUGUUUAAAACAUUAAUAAGUGGUUAAAUGAUCCAAUAUUAUUGAUUAUAAGAAAAAAUUACCUUAGGGAUAACAGCGUAAUUUUUUUUUUUAGUUCACAUAAAAAAAAAAGUUUGCGACCUCGAUGUUGGAUUAAGAUAAAAUUUAAAUGCAGAAG